rnacentral:misc_RNA from 1 species
UCAGUUCUUGUUCACAAGGUUAUAUUAGCAUCUCUGGAGCAAGGGGUUCGGGAGGGCAGGAUGCUGCUUCAUGAUUGGCUUGUAAUCCUCACAGCUCAAUAUAAUGAUGCUUGUAAACUGGUUCAGUUUAAGAACGGGAGUUCAGUAACUGGUCAGAUUGAUGUUGCAUUCUCACAAUGCCCACAACUGCAGCCCUUACCUCGUCUAGUUUUUGCUUUGCUUCGAAAUCCUCUUCUGCGCUUCCACGAAGAAGGUGUCCACCCUGACUACCGGAUCUACCUACAGUGUCUUUUCAGUGCACUUGAACCAAGUUCCCUUCAUCGUGCUGUAUAUCCGGUACUAAUGUCAUAUUCUACACCAGAUAAACAAGCAUAUCCUCGCCACUCUUUGAGCCGUGCUGCUUUAAUUACCAGUGGUAGUCCAAUAUUUUUCCUUGAUGCAUUUACAACUCUAAUUGUAUUCUACUCAUCUACAGCAGAUCCUGCACUUCCUUUUCCUCCACCCCAGGAUUGUUUUUUGAGAACUACAAUUAACAAAUUGAAGCAAGACAGAAGUAUAACUCCAAGACUGAUUUUUAUUCGGGGAGGGCAAGAUGAUGCCUCUGCUUUUGAGAAUUACCUCAUUGAGGAACAGGA